rnacentral:rRNA from 1 species
AUACGUAGGGUGCGAGCGUUGUCCGGAAUUACUGGGCGUAAAGAGCUCGUAGGUGGUUUGUCGCGUCGUCUGUGAAAUUCCGGGGCUUAACUCCGGGCGUGCAGGCGAUACGGGCAUAACUUGAGUACUGUAGGGGAGACUGGAAUUCCUGGUGUAGCGGUGAAAUGGGCAGAGAUCAGGAGGACCACCGUGGUCGAAGGGGAGACCCCGGGCAGGAACUGUGGCGGAGUAGCGAAAGAUGGGGUGGCGAAUAGGAUUAGAUUCCCUUGUUGUGCAUGCCGUAAACGGUGGGCGCUAGGUGUAGGGGUCUACCACGACUUCUGUGCCGUAGCUAACGCAUUAAGCGCCCCGCCUGGGGAGUACGGCCGCAAGGCUAAAACUCAAAUGAAUUGACGGGG